AAACACAUAGGUUUGGUCCCAGCCUUCCUGUUAACUCUUAAUAAACUUACACAUGCAAGCAUCUACACCCCAGUGAGAAUGCCCUCUAGGUUAUUAAAACUAAGAGGAGCUGGCAUCAAGCACACACCCUGUAGCUCACGACGCCUUGCUUAACCACACCCCACGGGAAACAGCAGUGACAAAAAUUAAGCCAUAAACGAAAGUUUGACUAAGUUAUAUUAAUUAGGGUUGGUAAAUCUCGUGCCAGCCACCGCGGUCAUACGAUUAACCCAAGCUAACAGGAGUACGGCGUAAAACGUGUUAAAGCACCAUACCAAAUAGGGUUAAAUUCUAACUAAGCUGUAAAAAGCCAUGAUUAAAAUAAAAAUAAAUGACGAAAGUGACCCUACAAUAGCCGACGCACUAUAGCUAAGACCCAAACUGGGAUUAGAUACCCCACUAUGCUUAGCCCUAAACACAGAUAAUUACAUAAACAAAAUUAUUCGCCAGAGUACUACUAGCAACAGCUUAAAACUCAAAGGACUUGGCGGUGCUUUAUAUCCUUCUAGAGGAGCCUGUUCUAUAAUCGAUAAACCCCGAUAAACCUCACCAAUUCUUGCUAAUACAGUCUAUAUACCGCCAUCUUCAGCAAACCCUAAAAAGGAAAAAAAGUAAGCGUAAUUAUGAUACAUAAAAACGUUAGGUCAAGGUGUAACCUAUGAAAUGGGAAGAAAUGGGCUACAUUCUCUACACCAAGAGAAUCAAGCACGAAAGUUAUUAUGAAACCAAUAACCAAAGGAGGAUUUAGCAGUAAACUAAGAAUAGAGUGCUUAGUUGAAUUAGGCCAUGAAGCACGCACACACCGCCCGUCACCCUCCUCAAAUAGAUUCAGUGCAUCUAACCCUAUUUAAACGCACUAGCUACAUGAGAGGAGACAAGUCGUAACAAGGUAAGCAUACUGGAAAGUGUGCUUGGAUAAAUCAAGAU
rfam:Bos taurus complete mitochondrial genome